rnacentral:rRNA from 1 species
UACGUAGGGGGCAAGCGUUGUCCGGAAUCAUUGGGCGUAAAGCGCGUGUAGGCGGCCCGGUAAGUCCGCUGUAAAAGUCCAGGGCUCAACCCUGGAAAGCCGGUGGAUACUGUCGGGCUCGAGUCCGGAAGAGGCGAGUGGAAUUCCUGGUGUAGCGGUGAAAUGCGCAGAUAUCAGGAGGAACACCGAUGGCGAAGGCAGCUCGCUGGGACGGUACUGACGCUGAGACGCGAAAGCGUGGGGAGCGAACAGG